GAAACUUAAAGGAAUUGACGGGGCCCGCACAAGCGGUGGAGCAUGUGGUUUAAUUCGACGCAACGCGAAGAACCUUACCAGGGCUUGACAUCCCCUGACCGCGUAUGAAAGUACGUUUUCACCCUCGGGUGACAGGGAGACAGGUGGUGCAUGGUUGUCGUCAGCUCGUGUCGUGAGAUGUUGGGUUAAGUCCCGCAACGAGCGCAACCCCUACGUUUAGUUGCUAACAGGUGAAGCUGAGCACUCUAGACGAACUGCCGUUGACAAAACGGAGGAAGUGGGGAUGACGUCAAAUCAUCAUGCCCCUUAUGUUCUGGGCUACACACGUGCUACAAUGGCCGGUACAGACGGAGGCGAAGCCGCGAGGCGGAGCAAAACCGAAAAAGCCGGUCUCAGUUCGGAUUGCAGGCUGCAAUUCGCCUGCAUGAAGUCGGAAUCGCUAGUAAUCGCAGGUCAGCAUACUGCGGUGAAUACGUUCCCGGGCCUU
rnacentral:rRNA from 1 species